CUUCCGAGGUGGGCGUGGUUGAAGGAUGUAAACAAUAAUUUUCUGUUCUCACUCCCUCACAUUAUUUGCUGCCCUCGUUAAAUGUAAUUAGUGUAAGGAAUGUCAGAUCGAGAACGAAGAGGAAAUUGGGGACCUGACCUAUUUUCAGAAUGGUACUGUUGUGCCAUAUCGGUUUGAGCCGGAGUAUACUGAGGCUGAGUUGUUCCGAUUGCGGGCUGACCGAGAGAAAAGAGAGAGACAGGAGCGAGCAGAUGUCGAGGAAACACAGGCUCUUACCAGAAUGGAGAUGCCUACCUCAACCAACAGACAGUGAAUGUGGGGGCUGUUUUAUUAGACUUCAAUGCAACUUUUGACAUUAUCGAUCGUAGUCUGUUGCUGGAUGAACAUACGUGUUAUGGCUGUACACCCCCUGCUAUAUUGUGGAUAAAUAGUUACUUGUAUAACAAAACACAUAGGGUGUUAUAUUAAUGGAAGCCUCUCCACAAAAAUCAGGUAGAAUCAGGAAUUCCCCAGGGCAGCUGUCUAGACCGCUUACUUUCAAUCUUUACUAACGACAUGAGUAGAGCCAGUGUGUCUAUGUAUGCGGAUAACUCAACACUAUUUACAUUUAUUUAACUAGGCAACUCAGUUAAGAACAAAUUCUUAUUUUCAAUUAACAAAGAGUUGGAGUUAGUUUCAGAAUGGGUGGCAAAGAAUAAGUUAUUCCUAAAUAUAUAAAAAACUAGGAUGUACACAGUGAGAUAAUAUGCAUGUCAAUCUCUCCUGGCUCAAAGUGGAGGAGAGAUUGACUUCAUCACUACUUAUAUUUAUGAGAGGUAUUGACAUGCUGAGUGCACUGAGCUGCGUUCUCAGCCCUCUCCUGUACUCCCUGUUCACCCAGGGCUGCGUGGCCAUGCACGCCUCCAACUCAAUCAUCAAGUUUGCAGACGACACUACAGUGGUAGGCUUGAUUACCAACAACAACGAGACGGCCUACAGGGAGGAGGUGAGGGCCAUCGGAGUGUGAUGUCAGGAAAAUAACCUCACACUCAAUGUCAACAAAACAAAAGGAGAUGAUCGUGGACUUCAGGAAACAGCAGAGGGAGCAGCCCCCUAUCUACAUUGACGGGACAGUAGUGGAGAGGGUGGAAAGUUCCUCGGCGUACACAUCACAGACAAACUGAAAUGGUCCACCCACACAGACAGCGUGGUGAAGAAGGCGCAGCAGCGCCUCUUCAACCUCAGGAGGCUGAAAAAAUUUGGCUUGUCACCAAAAACACUCAAACUUUUACAGACGCACAAUCGAAAGCCUCCUGUCGGGCUGUAUCACCGCCUGGUACGGCAGCUGCUCCGCCCAUAACCGCAAGGCUCUCCAGAGGCUAGUGAGGUCUGCACAAUGCAUCACUGGGUGCAAACUACCUGCCCUCCAGGACACCUACACCACCCGAUGUCACAGGAAGGCCAAAAAGAUCAUCAAGGACAACAACCACCCGAGCCACUGCCUGUUCACCCCACUAUCAUCCAGAAGGACCCCUGCUUGAGAAUGGGACCAGCUUAUUUCCGAUAAUGGAGGAGGUAGAACAUCAGACUGACGAUGCAGCAGAAGAUGGGGUGUGCGUAACUAAACACUCCGAUGUCUCGUCUCUCAUCAAUCCUGGUGUGUUGAGAGACUUUCUUCAGAAUGCCCAGGAUCAACUGGAAACAACGUGACACACCGGACGGUCCAAACGGGAAGCUCUCUGAAUCGCCUAUCGUUCUGCCACUUGAUAGCCUGCUGCUGCCCCCCCUUGGGUUGUGCCGUGGCGGAGAUCUUUGUGGGCUAUACUCGGCCUUGUCUCAGGAUGGUAAGUUGGUGGUUGAAGAUAUCCCUCUAGUGAUGUGGGGGCUGUGAUUUGGCAAAGUGGGUGGGGUUAUAUCCUGCCUGUUAUAUCCUGGCCCUGUCCGGGGGUAUCGUCGAACGGGGCCACAGUCCUGUCUCAGCCGCCAGUAUUUAUGCUGCAGUAGUUUGUGUCGGGGUGGCUAGGGUCAAUCUGUUAUAUCUGGAGUAUCUCUCCCGUCUUAUCCGGUGUCCUGUGUGAAUUUAAGUAUGCUCUCUCUAAUUCUCUCUUUCUCUCUCUCGGAGGACCUGAGCCCUAGGACCAUGCCUCAGGACUACCUGGCAUGAUGACUUCUUGCUGUCCCCAGUCCACCUGGCUGUGCUGCUACUCCAGUUUCAACUGUUCUGCCUACGGCUAUGGGACCCUGACAUGUUCACCAGACAUGCUACCUGUCCCAGAACUGCUGUUUUCACCCCUCAUAGCCUGGUUCCUCUCUAGGUUUCUGCCUAGGUUUUGGCCUUUCUGGGGAGUUUUUCCUAGCCACCGUGCUUCUACACCUGCAUUGCUUGCUGUUUAGGGUUUUAGGCUGGGUUUCUGUACAGCACUUUGAGAUAUCAGCUGAUGUAAGAAGGGCUAUAUAAAUAAAUUGGAUUUGGAUUAUUUAUUUAUUUUUUGACCAAUGGGGUUCUUGACAGCCUGCUGGACCAGUCCAGGUCUAGACAGUCUGCUGGACCAAUCGGGUUCUAAAGUUGAAUGUCUUCUGUUCAGACACUCUUCUCUACCCAGUCCUCUGCCUGUGUGAAAUAUUAUACAUGGCUUCUGGAUCUACUGAAAGAUGUGUAACAGAAUAACAAAAAAAUAUAAAUGAGUCCUAAUUAGUCUUUCCUUGCAUUCUCCUGAAUUUCUUUGGGAGGCAUGAAUGGAGGAACAUUGGGCUCCCUCUUUGAAAAGGGUAUGAAAAGGUUACAAAGAAGAUGUGAGACACUGAACAAAGAAAAAUCACAGACAGUAUAGUUCAUAGUCCUAUCCUCAUGUCUGUUCCACCACCCCUCUCCUUCUUCCGUUCCCUUCUAGGCAGGUAGAAACAGAAAGAGUGUUGGCUGGUAUAAAACAGCGCCAGACACUACAUGUCAAUGCAGGGCAUGAGCUGAUAUUCUAAAUGUUUUAAUUUAAAUUAUAUAAAAGGGUGGGCUAGUUUGUUGUCAUUACAACUCAUGCAUCAGCUAGGACCAGAAUCAUAUAUCUAUUGUAUCUAUAUGGCCCUGGCUAGGGCUGUGUCCUUCAAGUCAUUUUAUGCAAUCAAUAGCACUACAGAAAACUGUGAUGCCUAGUAGAAAAUUAUACUAUUUCUUAUCAGUAACGUUAUAAUGAAAGAGGGAAUUGUAUCACAAAACUAAAUAAGCAAAACAGCCAGAAGGAUAAAGUUACCGUUACAGUAGUAACUAAGCUAAAAACACCAUGAAACAAAUAACAUUCUAAAUCACGUUGUGGAAACGAACUACAGGUGUUAGCAACUUAGCUAGCUAGCAAAUACCUUGAAUGGUUGGAGCUUUCCCGUCCAUGGUGGAAAGACUGUGGGAACAGAACCCGGUUUCAACCGGUCGACAUUGUAGUCAGUGGCCACAAAGUGAUCACUUGACACGGUCAACCACAGCUGGUGUAUGACUUCGGGUGUCGUAUCAACACCAUAAGCAGAAUGUGGGAUGGCCUACAGCUAUGCAUGAUACAAAGCUCCAUCGUGGUCAGGAAAAGAGUGGAAAUGUGUAGAGUAUUUGUAUCUGACCGGAACAUUAUUGUACUUCAUUUUAGCCAACGUAACUUGACUAGCUACCAUUUUUUUUUAUUUAACCUUUAUUUUACUAGGCAAGUCAGUUAAGAACAAAUUAUUAUUUUCAAUGACGGCCUAGGUUAUGUAACAAUAAAUACACCUUAUUUAAUGAAUUUGAGGUAAUUUCGGAAAUUCUGCAUUUUGAUAUAAAAAUACAAAAAUCUAAAUACUCAAACAAUGGACCUAAAAACGGUCUGGGGUACUGACAAAGAGACGGGCAAGUGUUAUAAAAGGGCACAGAAGUGGAUCAGCCUAUAAUGUGAACGUCUAGCAACUGUCAUAUAUAUAUAUAUAUAUAUGUAAACAUUCAUACACAUAGCUCAUAUAUAUUAUACAGCGCCAAGCCAAACCGCCUGACUCAAGUCAUCUUACCUACCCCUGUUAAAACAGGAACUAGCUCACACAGCCAGCAAUAAAACUACCCCCCUAACACUAUCCCCUCAGCUUUGUUGUCUCCCGACCCCAGGAAACAAAGACAUUCCAUCGCAAGAACACAUACACCCAGCCAUAAAACUGACCCCCUCUACUGGUCAGGGAGCUCAGAGAACAAGACUCUGCUAUGCACCAAUGGGGCCCGCUCUGGCUAGAGCAAGGCCCGCCUCCAACUCUUUGUGACCAGUCAGAAGACCAAAACGACAAGACUCCACCUACUUUAUUCUAUGUAUAAAAAUGAAUGUAACCUUUGUAUAAGGCCUCUUUUUCACCUGACUCCUUGCCGAGUUAUAUGAACUAGAUCCGUGCACGUAAAACUGCGGGACAAGAUAUCUUUGACUCAUUAAAACUGUCUUUUGUUACAACUGAAA